GUUGAUUUCACGGAAACAGAAUCUAAUAGAAGGAGGUUACAGCCACAAUAUGAUGUCAUCUUUUGCUUCUUAAUUCGGACGGACAUAAAAAAUCGGCAUCCUUUUCAAACGAAACAACUUCCUUACAAUUUAUGUCCAU